ACUUCCUUCUUUUUCUUAUCACGAUUAUGAUAUUCUAUAUCAAUCUCCCUUCAAGGAACACAAUGUGUACUGCUGCAGCACACAUAAAGUUUUCUAUAAGAAGAAAGAGUAUCAUUUGGUUUUGAAGUUGGGCCAUUUCAAAAGGACAGCCUUUGUCAACGUUUUUGUUCAUUAUGCGCCGAAGACGAAAGACUCAAUUUAAGAGAGUGGCGGAACACUUUAUCCCAGGCUCCAGAGCGACGGGCUGACAGGCACAGACUAACAAUUAAGGAGCACAGGGGCCACUGUUCGGUAAAUGUAAUGAUGAGACUUGCAUGCUUUCUUUAUUUACCCCUUUGUUUGUUCUCACCUUCUAUACUUAAGUACUUAUUGACUGUGCCCUUUUUGUGCUGGUGAGAUCAAAGGUGUGGCAGGCUUGGAAAAACAGCUUCGCUUACCAACACCAGUCACUCAUCUAAGGGCCCAGAGGAAGCCAGGGUCAGCUGACUGAUUACAGCAGCCUCUAAGCUAGAACCAUUUUUAUUUUUUUUUUCUUCUUCUGAAAUGACUUGCUUAAUUUCACA
rnacentral:lncRNA from 1 species